rnacentral:rRNA from 1 species
GAACUAGCUAACUGAAAUCAAUUAAAAAAAUUGAUAACAUAAGGGAAAAUAAUGAUAUUACCUUAUUAUUAGUGUCGUCCAAAACUGGUGCCAGAAGACUCGGUAAGGCCAGAGACACAAACGUUAAUCGUCUUAAUCAGGCGUAAAGGGUUUGUAGGCGGCUUUUAAUUUAUUUAUAAAAUUUUAAUAAAAUAAGUAAAGAAUAAAAGCUAGAAUCAAAUAGAGGAUAUAUCAAAUAAUGCUUAGAGUAGGUCUGAUAUCCUUAGAUACUAAGUAGAAUAUUAAAGGCGAAAGCUUUUUUCCAUAAAUGAUUGACGCUCAGAAACGAAGGUGAGGAUAGGAAAUAGGAUUAGAUACCCAAAAUACCCCUCUCUGUCAACGAUGAAUGGUAACUAUUAAUAAAAUUUUAUUAUUGAUGGUAAUGUUAACACGAUAACCAUUCCGCCUUGUGAGUACAACUGCAAAGUUGAAAACAAAAAAAUUAGUCCGUUUCGGAGCAAACGAAGUGAAGCAUGUUAUUU